ACAACUUCUCGGAAGUGAGCAGGGCCAGCGUCCACCAUUCGGAGAUCGCAGUUGUGCCUUUGAAGUCCAGACCCGGGCGUCCGCCUGCUGGACCCGACGCUAAAACCAACAGCGGCUUAGGUGGGCCGGCAGUGAGCAGAGUGGACUCGUUUGCGGUGGGGUCCUCGUCGGCUUCUUCCCAUGGGAAUGUGUUGAGUCGGAGGAGAUCGUUGAAGUCUCCAACAGGAGAACAACCUGUUGAGGUCUAACGAACCGAAUUUCGGUUUUUCGUUUUUCUUCUUUCAAAUGUUGAUCCAUUACAACUCAAUAUCCCGAGGACUGGCUAUACAAUUUGGUUCCGGGCCGGAAUUUAUACCUCGGAAAUUAUACAGAUUUUUUUGUGCAGUUAGUAGAGAACAUUUAUAUACACUGAAUUUGUACAAAGGUUUCAGUCUUCAUGAUCCCAGAGAUCUUCCACUGUCCUGAAAGGUUUGAACAACAGUGAACUCACAGUUUGUUGAACUUCCUACUCUGCACUCUGCAGCUGUCCUAUAACCACCGAAUGAAACGCAAUCAUCAACGAAAUCAUACCGAACAUAGAAUAUAUGAUUUUA
rnacentral:lncRNA from 1 species